rnacentral:tRNA from 2 species
GCCCGGCUAGCUCAGUCAGUAGAGCAUGAGACUCUUAAUCUCAGGGUCGUGGGUUCAUGCCCCACGUUGGGCG